GACGAACGCUGGCGGCGUGCCUAAUACAUGCAAGUUGAGCGCUGAAGGUUGGUACUUGUACCAACUGGAUGAGCAGCGAACGGGUGAGUAACGCGUGGGGAAUCUGCCUUUGAGCGGGGGACAACUUUUGGAAACGAAUGCUAAUACCGCAUAAAAACUUUAAACACAAGUUUUAAGUUUGAAAGAUGCAAUUGCAUCACUCAAAGAUGAUCCCGCGUUGUAUUAGCUAGUUGGUGAGGUAAAGGCUCACCAAGGCGAUGAUACAUAGCCGACCUGAGAGGGUGAUCGGCCACAUUGGGACUGGGACACGACCCAAACUCCUACGGGAGGCAGCAGUAGGGAAUCUUCGGCAAUGGACGAAAGUCUGACCGAGCAACGCCGCGUGAGUGAAGAAGGUUUUCGGAUCGUAAAACUCUGUUGGUAGAGAAGAACGUUGGUGAGAGUGGAAAGCUCAUCAAGUGACGGUAACUACCCAGAAAGGGACGGCUAACUACGUG
rnacentral:rRNA from 1 species